GGGUUUAUGGUUUGCUGGGGGUGGAAUUUUUGAGGUAAAUUUUGGAGAUUUUGGGUUUCUUUUUGGACUUUUAUAGUUUUAAGGCAACAGAGAUGAACGGUGGGAGAAAUUUAAGGUUUUUGGGGUCACUUUGGGGCAUUUCUUGGGUCAUUUUGGGCCGAUUUGGGGUCAUUUUGGGGCACUUUUGGGGGUCAUUGAGGCAGUUUUGGGUCUUUUGGGGUCAGUUUUGGGUUUUUGGGGGUCAAUUUUGUGCCUGGGUCAAUUUUGGGGAUUUUUAGGACCACGUUCUUGGUAAUUUCUGGUCAUUUUUUGGUGUUUUUGGGUCAGUUUGGGGUAUUUUGGCUUUAAUUUGGGGUCAACCUUGGGUCUUUUGUGGGUCGAUUUGAGGCUUUUUGGUCAUUCAGUGGGUUAUUUUUGAUCAAUUUAGGUCGAUUUUGGUGUCUUUUGGGAUCAUUUUGCUGCAUUUUAGACUUUUUUUUGUGUCUUUGGGUGAAUUUUCUGUCGUUCUGGGGAUCAGUUUUGGAUCUUCCUGCGUCUUGGUCAAUUUUGGGCUCUGAUGCUGGAGAACCUCCAGAAGCACUCGACCCCCCACGCCACCUUCCAACCCAACUCGCAGAUCGGGGAGGAGAUGAGCCACAACAGCUUCAUCAAGCAGUACCUGGAGAAGCAGCAGGAGCUGCUGAGGCAGCGGCGCGCCAGGGAGGCCAACCCCGACCGUGAGCCUCUGGGAGCCAAAAUCGGGCGU